AUGGAGAUGAGUUGAAUGAUUGUCUUGAGAACUGUUGCAAAGGCCUUAAGACGUGCUGCUGAGGGAAAGGCUUCUGCUCAAGCUGAGGCAGCAUGGAAUAUGCUGGAGUUUAAAGAAACUUGGACGAAGUUCAGAUCGUGAAGUUUUGUAUUGGAGAAGCCACUUUAAAGCAUGUUGUUAUGAUUAUUAUUAUUGUUAAUCUGCGUGCUCUUGUAGGACUCUUUCUGUGCUGGUUUCUUAUUACUUUCUAGAGAAUGCCUGUUUUUCCAUUUUUC